GCCGGCUUAGCUCAGUUGGUAGAGCAACUGAUUUGUAAUCAGUAGGUCUCCGGUUCGAAUCCGGAAGCCGGCUCCA
rnacentral:tRNA from 4 species